rnacentral:tRNA from 1 species
GCUGUGGUGUAAUGGUAAAGCGCUUAACUCCUACACAAGAAAUCCUGGGUUUGAUUCCCGGCCCCGGCA